rnacentral:sRNA from 1 species
GAUCGUCGAACUAUAAAUGUAAUUUGUACAAAGAGAAUCUCCCUUGAAAAAGAGAAGACAGAAACC